GCAGCCGACGACGACCGCCUUGCCCGCGUUCCGCACCGAGAGCGCCUGACCUCGCUGACGCCACCAUGUGCCGCCUUCUCCAGCUGUCAGCCACGACCCCGUAGGCACCUCGACCUCGAUUCGGAGACGCCGUGGAUGCUUGCCACGUUGCCCCGCCUCGCGCCGUCCCAUCCGUGCCGUCGAACCUCGGCGUCCGCGCCCUAAUCAACCUGGACAUCGACCCAAACCUAGAGCCCCUGGCUUAUAUAAGUCCCCGCGGCCACCACAAACCCUAACCGCCUCCCCUCUUCCCCAAUCGACCGCCGCCGCCGCCACGCCAGAGAAACAGAGGAAGGCAAGGAGAGGAGGGAGACGGAGAGGAGGACGAGCCGGACCUGAGCACGCCAAGGAAGAAAGGAGGAGGAGAAGGAGCUUCACGUCGCCACCCGAGCCGAGCAUCGCCGUCACCAGAAGGAGCCGAUGCCGCGCCGCCCGAGCCAAGGACGCCGCCGGAGUUCUUCACCACGCCGGCGCCCGUACGCCUACACCGGAGCCCCAGCUCGGCACGACACAGCUUCGCGUUGACGCUGCAUCACCUCGCCACCGCUCCAUGCCCUUCUCCCUCGAGCCCGCCGUCUGGUAGAUGCAGGAUUCGACUCGCGGAUCAAGCCUGAAGAUGAAGGAGGAAGUUAAGGACGGUUCGUGCUACACUCCAAGCUACCUGUGAAGAGGAGACAUCGAGAUGGAGAAUGCCCAGAAGAUUAGCUACCGCUCCCGACUUCUGUUUGUUUUCCUUUAGCCCAAGUGACUUGUACUCUGAUUUUCGUACCACAACCCUCUAAGUUAUGUAAUAAUUAAAUCCAUGUAAUGAAUUUCAGUGUUGUAUGUCUGUGAUAUCUAAUUGAAAUGAGUUCUGUAUGUGAUAGCUACUGAUCCAGGAACUAUCACGACGAUACAGGGAUUCGGGUUCUCCUUCCGGAAACCCAGGUCAUUUCACUAUCUGCUCACUGUUCUUUCGCAAGGAUAAUCUACGUUUGUUUAGGAUGGUAUAUUUUGAUGUACAUCUCUGCGCAUAAUUCCUAGAUAUCUAGAUGUUUUUUGUUUGGUUUAGAUUGCUUUCUUUCCCAGAGUCAUCAGUAUCUGUGUGAAACUAUCAUUCCCUUCUGAACGGUUUCUUUUUUGUAGGCAGCUGAGCACGUGAUUUCCUGUAGUAGCGGCUUCCCAGCCAAUUAGCUCCGAACUGUUUUAAGGCCAGGAAUUAGCAGCAACUUUCUCCUCUUUCAGCUCUCACCUAGUGUCAUAGUGUGUCAUAGGCAAUUGCACUCUUAUCUACUUUGAUAUAGAUUCUCCUUGCUGAUCCUUUUGAUUGUGCUCCCCUUUUACAGGAAUUUGCAAGGUCCUUAAGGUCAUGAAAAAGUGCUAAUCCCAUCUGCUCUCUGUGAGGUUGCAAAUGUUAUUUCUCCUCCAAUCCUCUGUGUACCCAUAUUUAUUUAUAUUAUUCUUUUAAUGCAAACAUAAUUAGAUUUUUCUGUUAUAUCUAGCCUUACUAAUCAAGUGGUUCUACAUUUAUAUAUAUCCUGACUUGAUAUAGGUGUUAGCGUUUAUAUCUGUAGUAAAAUAGAUUUUACUAUGUGUCUAGAAAGAGAUAAAUUCCUGCUAAUGUUUUGAACUGGCACUUCUGCAAAUAACAUUAACAUUAUAACGUUAGGAGAGAUAAAUUUUGUUAUGGGUUGGACAUUGUUAGUGCUACAGUUUUCAAAGGCCUAACUGAACAUAGGCAAUAUUAUGCUUUCCAAAUAAAUGGCUUUACUCAGGUGACAUGCUAACUAACACUAUUUCUUGUAGGUUUCCUGAUUCUCUGAUUUCUAAAACAUCACAACAGUUUAGUUGCUGCGAGUUGUAGGAUUAUCAAGGAAGAAAUGAAGCAAUGGUCUUUUGCAGGGGCUCGAGGAGUAUCUCACCUCCUCGCCCUAGCAGCUCCAGCCACUUAGAGGCUUUUGGUCUAGUGUUCCGGGUCAUGUCUGUCUUUUUUGUAAGAGUCUCUUAAAACUGGUUUUUGGGUCAGAUGCAGGCCCAUCAUUUAUGUAACAUUUUGGGCAUCUUUUUCCCAUUUCUUCUUAAUAUAUUGAUGCGCAGCUCUCCUGCGUGUUCGAGAAAAAAAAGUUGUAUUGCAUUUCUUUAAUUUAGUUUCUAAACUGCAAUGAGAUUUGGCUAA